AAUUGUUCGUUCAGAACUCGAUAGCAUGCAUUUUGUAUAUGAUAAAUGAUGUCGAAAAAUUAUAAAAUUUAAUUUUUAGUUAUUUUUAAUAGUGUAAACUAAGUUUAACCGAGCCGAUCGUCGAUUUGGACGUCGCAUUAAUUAUUGAAAACAAUAUGGUAGCACGGAGGCCUCCGUGCUACCGAUAGUAUACCAGCCUCUCUCUCUCUGUCUCUCUCUCUCUCUCUAUAUAUAUAUAUAUACACACACUAUGCUUUUGGAAGUAUAAGAGAAUUUGUGCUUUUUCACUUCUUCAUCCUUGGAUCAAGAUUUAUAGGAUCAGAAUAAUAGUGGUCCUCCAAUUAGGAUUUGUGGACCCGCAGAACUGGCUAGUAUUUCUAG
rnacentral:lncRNA from 1 species